CCAGGCCUGGAUGCAGCAUAACCAACCUUCAGUCAACCAUCGGUCUACUGAAUCUUAUCACCAAACCAUGCUGAAAGUGCCACCUCCACAUUUUCUUAAACAUUUCCAAGAAUUGGGACUGCAUCACUGCCCUGGGCAGGAUGGCAGGUGAAGUGGAGUGUGUUGGGUGAGCAAGGUGUGAGGAGAUGGCCUUCAGCUAGCAACAGUUUAAUUGCAACACAUCCCAACGCAAAAAGAGAAACAGAGCAGAAACUGCACAGCUGAUGGAGUGUGAGGAGAAGAAAUCUGAACAUCAUUGUCUAAGUAAGUAAAACAUGUAAUUUUUUUCAGGCAAAGUAGAAAUGAACACAACGCAUAUAUUUUCUAUGAACUUAAAAAGUACGUGCAGAAGUUGCAUGUAGAUAUGCAGGGGUUAAAUAGGGAGAAAUGAACGAAUGGUCCAGGGAUGUUUUUAAAAAUGCUUCUGGAACAAAGUAAUAAAUGGAAUAGCAGCAUUCGGGAUGGCAGAAGUAGUGCCACUCCAGGUAAGAACAUAGGCUUUGGGACUGGAGUUUAUAGUACAGGAGACUGUUUAUGCAAGACUACCCAGCUCUGGGGCUGUGUGCUAAAUACUGUGAAGAAAGAGAUGGAAUAUAGUAUACACAGAGUCCCUCCUCUGGUAAGACAUUUAACACAUCAUCAGGCAGAUGAGUUGUCCGACUGAAAUCUGGAUGAGCAAGCCUUUAAAAAUCUAUUGGACAUUUACACUGCUAAGUUACAUAUCAAGAAAUAUGAUUCUAUUAAAUAUAAUCCCAUGAAAUACCAGGGAUUUUUGUUCUCCACCAUUUUCAUUUGUGUUAGUUUAGUACUGCUUGGUGGGACAAAUGCUCAGUAAUAAUAACAACCCAUUUUCCUGUCUUUGAGUAACUACUUUUUUUUUCCCCCUGCAGAUCUUUAUAUAAGGCUUCUAGACCUAACUGUCAAAGUUCAUUCAGCUGAGCUAAAAUACAAAACAAGGUAUAAAUAAAACACAGUUUAUGGUUGCAGCCAUUUUUUCUUACCACUUUGCCUGGGAGAGGUCAUGUGUCAUAACUGUGUUUAUUGGUGUUAGUGGCUGUCUUUCUACCAACAAGAAAUGUGCAACUGCCUUUAUGUUGCUGGCAGUUGUAUUGGUAAGGGCACGAUGAGUAAGCUUCACAUGUUUCUAUUAAUACAAAGUUGCUUGUCACUGAUAGCAGUGCUUGCUGUUGCAUAAAGUAAGAAACACUGUCAGAUAACCACUUCUAAAUUGCUAGAAGCUUUUCAAAUGAGCGCUGUGCCAUAAGCUUUGUUCUAAAAGUUCUCCCUUGUACAGUGUCACAGAAGCCUUGUUUCUGUCCGGACGUGAGCAGCCUGUUUGUUUUUUCGUUAUUUGCCAAUUGCAGUGGAAAUGAUGCAGCACAAAAAAACUGCUGACUGAAGAGUCUGUUGUAUUUUCUAGGUACUUAGUGGCUUUGAAAUAAAACUAGAGAUUAUCGCAAGUGCUGCAGUUGUUCAAAUUCAGCUCCUGCCAAGUUUUCACACCACCGAUGCUUCUAAGAACAGAGAAACCUACCUUAGAAGCUUCUUCCCAAUUUGUAUCUUGCUAUUUUCAGUAUUAAAUUUAGAACAGUGU
ensembl:lncRNA